rnacentral:sRNA from 1 species
CCCUAGCCCCGAUGGGAGGGAAAAUCCUUUUGUGUCCGCCGCGGCGGACACAAAAGAUUGAAAGAACAGCGGGAUUAAGC